rnacentral:rRNA from 1 species
CCAGACUCCUACGGGAGGCAGCAGUGAGGAAUAUUGGUCAAUGGGCGAGAGCCUGAACCAGCCAAGUAGCGUGCAGGAAGACGGCCCUAUGGGUUGUAAACUGCUUUUAUAAGGGAAUAAAGUGGGUCACGUGUGACUUUUUGCAUGUACCUUAUGAAUAAGGACCGGCUAAUUCCGUGC